UGUGCCUCGUCUUCUUCAUGCAUCAUGUAGCAACCGAACGUUGAGAGAGUUCGUUCGGGGCAGCAAACGAAUAGUGUCUCUCAGAGCAGAUCCUCCUCAUGGGGGGAGGUUUGAAUGAAUGUAUAUGUAUCGUCUCCUGUAUAGCUAUGCGAGGCCUCAAAGUGUGUAUUUUGAAUGCCUCUGAUGAGAAAAUUGGUGAGGAUUUCAAUCACUGGUAUAAAUCAUCACUCUAAGAAAAUUGUACAUAGUGGGACCGUAAAAAGUACAUACUUUGAAGUUCGACAACUUUUACGUAGAAGUGGGUUUCAAAAAUUACAUUCUUUGUCAGUUCUUUCUGUUCUACAAAACCCUCUAUGUAGAAAGAACUUUAAUUUCAGAUAAUUUGAAGUUGACGGCGUUUUGCUUCUCACUCGCACCACCAGGGAGUCAGUCUGUGAUUUGCAUCCUACUUGCGCGCAAGCAACAAUUUUUGCAGAACUUUCCCAUAAGUCUUUGCGAAAACAUAAUUUUCUUGGAUAGUUGUUGGUUUCCACUGGGUCCAGAAGCGACAUGAAACGCUAUCAUAGACGAUUCAACAAUCUUAUUCCACCAUAGUUGCGUCCUCAACAAAGAAAGCCAAAAAUCAAAGAUUUUAAACUUAAUCCGCCAGUUUACUGUCGAUCGAAUCAUACCCUGCCCCAGAAAUUGAAUAUCAAGGACACCAGCUCAAACUAAAAAAUCGAUGUUCUGGUGUGACAAAUCCCAUCUGGGUGAUUUCCAGAUAAUCCAUCAUGAUGUAGCAUUCAAUCCCCAACGGAAAAACGUAUUACUCGGAUGAACCGAAAACAGUUUGCAAAAAAACAGUGACCGGAAAUGAUAAAGGGUAUUCAAAAAUAAAUUACUGUAG